CCUACGGGAGGCAGCAGUGAGGAAUAUUGGUCAAUGGCCGCGAGUCUGAACCAGCCAAGUAGCGUGAAGGAUGACUGCCCUACGGGUUGUAAACUUCUUUUAUCAGGGAAUAAAGUGAGCCACGUGUGCCUUUUUGUAUGUACUUUAUGAAUAAGGAUCGGCUAACUCCGUGCCAGCAGCCGCGGUAAUACGGAGGAUCCGAGCGUUAUCCGGAUUUAUUGGGUUUAAAGGGAGCGUAGAUGGGUUGUUAAGUCAGUUGUGAAAGUUUGCGGCUCAACCGUAAAAUUGCAGUUGAUACUGGCAGUCUUGAGUACAGUUGAGGUAGGCGGAAUUCGUGGUGUAGCGGUGAAAUGCUUAGAUAUCACGAAGAACUCCGAUUGCGAAGGCAGCUUACUAAACUGCCACUGACACUGAGGCUCGAAAGUGUGGGUAUCAAACAGGAUUAGAUACCCGGGUAGUC
rnacentral:rRNA from 1 species